rnacentral:rRNA from 1 species
GUUGUAUGGUUAAGUGACUAAGCGUACACGGUGGAUGCCUGGGCAGUCAGAGGCGAUGAAGGACGUACUAACUUGCGAUAAGCGCAGAUAAGGCAGUAAGAGCCGUUUGAGUCUGCGAUUUCCGAAUGGGGAAACCCAACUGCAUAAGCAGUUACUGUUAACUGAAUACAUAGGUUAACAGAGCAAACCGGGGGAACUGAAACAUCUAAGUACCCCGAGGAGAAGAAAUCAACCGAGAUUCCGGUAGUAGCGGCGAGCGAACCUGGAUUAGCCCUUAAGCACUCGGUGAAGUAGGUGAACAAGCUGGAAAGCUUGGCGAUACAGGGUGAUAGCCCCGUAACCGACGCUUCAUCGAGCGUGAAAUCGAGUAGGGCGGGACACGUGAUAUCCUGUCUGAAUAUGGGGGACCAUCCUCCAAGGCUAAAUACUCCUGACUGACCGAUAGUGAACCAGUACCGUGAGGGAAAGGCGAAAAGAACCCCUGUGAGGGGAGUGAAAUAGAACCUGAAACCGUGUACGUACAAGCAGUAGGAGCACCUUCGUGGUGUGACUGCGUACCUUUUGUAUAAUGGGUCAGCGACUUAUAUUCAGUGGCAAGGUUAACCGUAUAGGGGAGCCGUAGCGAAAGCGAGUCUUAACUGGGCGCUCAGUCUCUGGAUAUAGACCCGAAACCGGGUGAUCUAGCCAUGGGCAGGUUGAAGGUUGAGUAACAUCAACUGGAGGACCGAACCGACUAAUGUUGAAAAAUUAGCGGAUGACUUGUGGCUAGGGGUGAAAGGCCAAUCAAACUCGGAGAUAGCUGGUUCUCCCCGAAAGCUAUUUAGGUAGCGCCUCGGACGAAUACUACUGGGGGUAGAGCACUGUUAAGGCUAGGGGGUCAUCCCGACUUACCAACCCUUUGCAAACUCCGAAUACCAGUAAGUACUAUCCGGGAGACACACGGCGGGUGCUAACGUCCGUCGUGGAGAGGGAAACAACCCAGACCGCCAGCUAAGGUCCCAAAGUAUUGCUAAGUGGGAAACGAUGUGGGAAGGCUCAGACAGCUAGGAUGUUGGCUUAGAAGCAGCCAUCAUUUAAAGAAAGCGUAAUAGCUCACUAGUCGAGUCGGCCUGCGCGGAAGAUGUAACGGGGCUAAGCAAUACACCGAAGCUGCGGCAAUGUCUUUUAGACAUUGGUAGGGGAGCGUUCUGUAAGCCGUUGAAGGUGAAUCGUAAGGUUUGCUGGAGUAUCAGAAGUGCGAAUGCUGACAUGAGUAACGACAAAGGGGGUGAAAAACCUCCUCGCCGGAAGACCAAGGGUUCCUGUCCAACGUUAAUCGGGGCAGGGUGAGUCGACCCUAAGGUGAGGCCGAAAGGCGUAAUCGAUGGGAAACGGGUUAAUAUUCCGUACUUCUGACUAUUGCGAUGGGGGACGGAGAAGGCUAGGUGGGCCAGGCGACGGUUGUCCUGGUUCAAGUGCGUAGGCUUGAGAGUUAGGUAAAUCCGGCUCUCUCUAAGGCUGAGACACGACGUCGAGCUACUACGGUAGUGAAGUCAUUGAUGCCAUGCUUCCAGGAAAGCCUCUAAGCUUCAGAUAGUCAGGAAUCGUACCCAAACCGACACAGGUGGUCGGUAGAGAAUACCAAGCGCUUGAGAGAACUCGGGUGAAGGAACUAGGCAAAAUGGUACCGUAACUUCGGGAGAAGGUACGCUCUUGAUGGUGAAGUCCCUCGCGGAUGGAGCUGACGAGAGUCGCAGAUACCAGGUGGCUGCAACUGUUUAUUAAAAACACAGCACUGUGCAAAAUCGCAAGAUGACGUAUACGGUGUGACGCCUGCCGGUGCCGGAAGGUUAAUUGAUGGGGUUAGCGCAAGCGAAGCUCUUGAUCGAAGCCCGGUAAACGGCGGCCGUAACUAUAACGGUCCUAAGGUAGCGAAAUUCCUUGUCGGGUAAGUUCCGACCUGCACGAAUGGCGUAAUGAUGGCCACGCUGUCUCCACCCGAGACUCAGUGAAAUUGAAAUCGCUGUGAAGAUGCAGUGUACCCGCGGCUAGACGGAAAGACCCCGUGACCUUUACUACAGCUUGGCACUGAACAUUGAACCUACAUGUGUAGGAUAGGUGGAGGCUAUGAAGACGUGACGCCAGUUGCGUUGGAGCCGUCCUUGAAUACCACCCUUGUAUGUUUGAUGUUCUAACUUAGACCCAUUAUCUGGGUUGAGGACAGUGCCUGGUGGGUAGUUUGACUGGGGCGGUCUCCUCCCAAAGAGUAACGGAGGAGCACGAAGGUGGCUAAUCACGGUUGGACAUCGUGAGGUUAGUGCAAUGGCAUAAGCCCGCUUAACUGCGAGAAUGACGGUUCGAGCAGGUGCGAAAGCAGGUCAUAGUGAUCCGGUGGUUCUGUAUGGAAGGGCCAUCGCUCAACGGAUAAAAGGUACUCCGGGGAUAACAGGCUGAUACCGCCCAAGAGUUCAUAUCGACGGCGGUGUUUGGCACUCGAUGUCGGCUCAUCACAUCCUGGGCUGAAGUCGGUCCAAGGGUAUGGCUGUUCGCCAUUUAAAGUGGUACGCGAGCUGGGUUAGAACGUCGUGAGACAGUUCGGUCCCUAUCUGCCGUGGCGUUGGAAGAUUGAAGGGGGCUGCUCCUAGUACGAGAGGACCGGAGUGGACGAACCUCUGGUGUUCGGGUUGUGUCGCCAGACGCAUUGCCCGGUAGCUAAGUUCGGAAUUGAUAAAGCGCUGAAAGCAUCUAAGCGCGAAGCGAGCCCUGAGAUGAGUCUUCCCUGACAGUUUAACUGUCCUAAAGGGUUGUUCGAGACUAGAACGUUGAUAGGCAGGGUGUGUAAGCGUUGUGAGGCGUUGAGCUAACCUGUACUAAUUGCCCGUGAGGCUUAACCAUACAACACCCAAGGGGUUUUGUA